rnacentral:rRNA from 1 species
AUACGUAGGGUGCAAGCGUUAAUCGGACUUACUGGGCGUAAAGCGUGCGCAGGCGGUUUUGUAAGACAGGGGUGAAAUCCCCGGGCUCAACCUGGGAACUGCCAUUGUGACUGCGAGGCUGGAGUGCGGCAGAGGGGGAUGGAAUUGCCCGUGUAGAAGUGAAAUGCGUAGAUAUGCGGAGGAACACCGAUGGCGAAGGCAAUCCCCUGGGCCUGCACUGACGCUCAUGCACGAAAGCGUGGGGAGCAAACAGGAUUAGAUACCCUGGUAGUCCACGCCCUAAACGAUGUCAACUGGUUGUUGGGAAUUUAUUUUCUCAGUAACGAAGCUAACGCGUGAAGUUGACCGCCUGGGGAGUACGGCCGCAAGGUUAAAACUCAAAGGAAUUGACGGGG